rnacentral:rRNA from 1 species
GAACAAUUAAACGGCCGCGGUACCCUAACCGUGCAAAGGUAGCAUAAUCAUUUGUCUACUAAUUAUAGACCUGCAUGAAAGGCAAAAUGAGGGUUUAACUGUCUCUUAUAAUGAAUCAAUUAAACUGAUCUCCUAGUAAAAAAGCUAGAAUUUCCACAUAAGACCAGAAGACCCUGUGAAGCUUAAACUAAACUAUUAAACCAUAUAAUAACCACUUUCGGUUGGGGCGACCUUGGAAAAAAAAAGAACUUCCAAAAAUCAUAACUAUCAUACCACCAGGCCUACCAGCCAAUAAACGACCCAGCACAGCUGAUCAAUGAACCAAGUUACUCCAGGGAUAACAGCGCAAUCCUCUUCAAGAGCCCAUAUCAAAAAGAGGGUUUACGACCUCGAUGUUGGAUCAGGACAUCCUAA